UACGUAGGGGGCUAGCGUUAUCCGGAUUUACUGGGCUUAAAGGGUGCGUAGGCGGCCUUUCAAGUCGGUGGUUAAAGGCUACGGCUCAACAGUAUUAAGCCGUCGAAACUGGAAGACUUGAGUACAGGAGAGGAAAGUGGAAUUGUCAGUGUAGCGGUGAAAUGCGUAGAUAUUGAGAAGAACACCGGUAGCGAAGGCGGCUUACUGGACUGUUACUGACGCUGAGGCACGAAAGCGUGGGUAGCAAACAGG
rnacentral:rRNA from 1 species